GGAUUAGAUACCCUGGUAGUCCACGCCGUAAACGAUGUGUGCUAGACGUCGGGGGUUCCGCCUUCGGUGUCGCAGCUAACGCAUUAAGCACACCGCCUGGGGAGUACGGCCGCAAGGUUAAAACUCAAAGGAAUUGACGGGGGCCCGCACAAGCGGUGGAGCAUGUGGUUUAAUUCGACGCAACGCGCAGAACCUUACCAGCCCUUGACAUGGGGAUCGCGGAUAGCAGAGAUGCUUUCUUUCAGUUCGGCUGGAUCCCACACAGGUGCUGCAUGGCUGUCGUCAGCUCGUGCUG
rnacentral:rRNA from 1 species